rnacentral:sRNA from 1 species
UCAGAUAUUAAACGACCAUCUGCAGCCUU